UUUGGUGGUUUUCACUUUGAGCUCAAAAGAAAAUGAAAACCAUCUGCCACAAUCUACAUGACGGUCUGAAAAUGCUAAAAUAGCACUAAAUGCAAUGCCCUGCACUCUGCUAUUAUUGAAGAAAUCUGGCGGCAUCUCCAAGGUUAUAAAAGAUCCCACACUUUGAAACUCAAACCACUUUGGAAUUUCAUUCCCAGGUAGUACUAUAUGACCUUUGCCCAAGGAAAAACCUCUCUGUACCAAAAAAACAUAAUUUUAAACCCAAAAAAAAACAAAGAUUGUAGAAAUUGCAUGUAAGUAGAGAGAGUUAAAGACACACAUUUUGCCAUACUUCUUGCCAUAUUUCUUGCAAACGUAGAACUGGCGUAUGAUUCGUAUGCUGAAUUCUCAGGGUAUCUUCAACAAUUCCUGCAGUAGAAUUACCUUCCAAUUUAAAAUUAUUGCUCCGGUCAAAAAAAAUUGCCUGUAAGAUUCAUAACUUAGAGAACAAACCUAAAAAUGGUUGCAGUGCCAAGCAACCUCGUUCAAGGAAUGGAGACUUUUGUACGAAUUGGAACCUCUCACCAUAACUUAAGAGGAGGUAUCCCGACACGAAAAGUUGGAUAAUGCUUUCUGGUAUUCUCUCAAUAUUGGUUUUCGCUAGAUUAAAUGUUAUUGGCGAGGAUAAUUGGCCAAGACAUUCGGGCAAUCUCUGAAGAUUUGAGCAACCACAGAGAUUAAGAACUCCAAGAGAUUUCAAUCUAUAGAGGCUGCUUGGGAGAUUCUUAAGCCUUUUACAAUUUGAAAGGUCUAAGUAUCCGAGCCUAAGUAGACGCUCAAUUGAUGAGGGCAGUUCUUCAAUUGCAGUCCCCCUUAAAAAUAACCAGCUUAUAUUACCUGAUGAGAUCUCUGGAAGCCUUUUCAGUUUUGGGCAGCCCGAAAGAUCAAGUUUGGUAAGAAAUUCCAAGUUAAAUAUUCCAGAUGGAAGACUUUUCAGGCUUUUGCUACCUCUUAGAUUCAAGAUAACCAGCUUGUUCAGACGUGGCAUCAACGUGGGAUUUGGAAUUUUGGCAAUUAGCUUAUGGCAGGCAGCAUGGAUUAUCUGGUUUAACUUACUAUAAUGCUGCUCGGUCAAAAAAGAGGCCAAGACAAAAUCGUUACCACGUAUAAUAAUUUAAUGUUGUUAUUGAGAGAUUGCACAUAUAUAAUAAGAUAUGCAUACCUUCACACAAUCCCAAAGUUGUUCAAUGUCAUUAUCAGGCACUUCAAGGAACAUAAGCUUCUCUGCACUGAGGUUUGAGGGAAAUGACUUCAACGGAUAUCCAUGCCAGUGAAGAUAUUUCACUUCAGCAAAUCCAGGGUCUUGCAAAUAAGACAUCUUACAUUUGUUCUCUCCAUUGAAUAAUGAACUAUAGAACUUUAAAAAUCUCAAUUUAGGCAUCUUUGUGAAAGUAUUGGGAUUUAGACGGAGCUCUUUUACUUUUGACAUAUCCAAACAUAUGCCCUCAAUUUUUUCUGUCCCCUAAAAAUAAAUGAAAAAGCAAUAAAGUUACAAUCAAAUGAAAGAUAUGUGUAUUCCACCAAUGAAUCGCCCUUCAACAAUACAUAGGGAUAAUUUUUGGGGCAAUUUUCUCACUAAUUCACAAUUAGAGGUAGCUUGUAGUUAUUGCUAGGCAGUUAAACUUUUAAUUGCAAAUGCACAAAGAAACAUAACAACACAAGUAAUACUUAAUAUAAAAAUUCCGUCUGUGUACUAUACAAAUUGGCAUAUCAAUUAUGCUUGCAAACGAUUAUGCAAGUUGUCAUGGCAUUUAUAAUUUAUUGCUACGUCAUCUAACGGAUAUGGUUUUUUCUAAUCAUUGUCGCUCUUCUAUUAAUUCUAAGACUCAUCAGUUCGAGCAUAGAUAAAUAUAUUCAUAUCAAGUUUGUAAAUGCUAGAAUAUUUCAAAAUAAUUAUCCACAACAAACUGCUUACCGUGUUAUAUGUAAGAACUUCAUAGAUAUCCUCAUGAUGCCACAACCUACUGCGGUUUCCAGGAUUAAUUGAUUCUUGUCGAACAAUUUCCCUACCCAACUCUUGUAGUAAAUCAUGCAUUCUUAUCUUGUUGUAUGAAUCAAUAGCAAUGAGAGAUUUAUCAACAAGAACACUUAUUCCUAUUUCUGGGUAGAAACCGCUUGCAUUAUGGAAUUUCAUUACUAGAUUUACAUCCUCGCCUUGAAAGAAACAAGCAACAUCAAGGAAAAUAUUUUUCUCCUUAUCAUCCAAACUAUUGUAACUUAUUUUUAAUACCUCUAGGAUACUUGGAUGGAGGAUUCUUUGCAAUUUAUUUAUUGCACUUUCCCAGACUUCCUUUUCUCUUUCAUAUAGAAAGCAACCCAAAACUUUAAGAGCUAAGGGAACACCUUGAGCAUAUUUCAUUACCUUGCUUGAAAAUUUCUCGUAACCAACUUCAGGAUGGUUUUGUUUGAAGGCAUGUCGACUGAAAAGCUCAAGAGCGUGAUGAUAUUCUAAUGCCUCCAUCACAUAUAUUUUACUCACCCCCCAAUUUCUAAGCACUUGUUUAUUUCUGGUGGUUAUUAUGAUUCGACUCACAGGCGUCAACCAAUCAAGACUUCCAAUUAUAGAUUCUAAUUGGCUGAAGCAAGUCACAUCAUCAAAAACAAUCAGAACCUUCAUGCGGCUGAGCCUUCUAAAAUUAAGACCAAUAUCAAGACUCACAUUUUUAUCUUUCAAUAAAUUUGAAAGAAGUUUUUGUCGCAAGCAAGCUAAUCCUCCCGGUUUUUGUGACUCUUCUCUAACAUUUUCAAGGAAGCAAGAACCUUCAAAAUCGCUAGAGAUUUUGUCGAAAGUAGCUCUAGCGAUUGUUGUUUUGCCUAUACCACCAAUGCCCCAAAUCCCUAAAGCGUAAACAUCUUUCGACUGAACACCUAGUAGAGAUUCAAUUUCCUCAACUCUUGAUUCUACUCCAACCAGCUGGUUUUGUUAUCAUUCCGCCGAAAAACUUGAUCCAGCAGUCUCUUUAAAAUGUGAUUAACAACUUCGUUUAUAAGUUCCGAUUCAGGCCUACCAAAUACAUAAAAUUAGCAGCAGUAACUUCAAAUAGAAGGGACCGGAUUUGCAUAAAAUAUGAAAUAAAGGAGAUUGCUAGUUUUCCAAUUGAAAUUAAUAUACCACUUUUUUUUUCAUAAGGAUAAUAUUGCAAAGUGAUGGUACAGGAGAGUUAUUAAAUAUUAUAAAAAUAGUCAAAAUAAGUGGUAUAUAUUGAUUUGAGUAAGGAAAUUUCCAAUCUCCCUAUAAAUUAAUAACUCUUUAAUUACAGGAAUAUGUUAUAUGUGGAAGAGAUUUUUUUUUUCCUAGUGGUAUAUGAGUAAGAGAUUGAAAUUGAUUAAAAAACGACAGAACACCAUUAAUUUUGUUAAAAUAUAUUGUAAACCUCUGGAGCUUUUAUUAGUAAUUCUGCAAAAAAUCUUUUAUAGGAGUUCAAAAGUGGGGAAGUUCAAGAAGUCUAGAAUUUGAUGCAUGAAAAAAUUUAAAAGUGUAGUUUAUCAUCUGGAAAUUUAACUAAGAGUGCUACGUGAAUUUUAUUUACAGUGUUGAAUAUGAGUAUGCGAAAUUAAAGUAACUUUUCACCUGAUGUUAAGAGAAUUAAAGCCAGACAAAGUGACUGCCUCCCUCAAAGCAUUCCUCCAAGUCAGCAGCUUCUUUGAAUUCUCCUUAAAUCUUUCUUCAAGCUUCGAAAAUGAAUCCCCAAAACUCCCAGUUUGGUUUCUCACGUCUGAUGGAUCAACCCGAUAGAAAACCGGAAUCACAAUCUGUGCAUACUCUUUCUUGCACUCGAGGAUCUUGACAAGUUCAUCGAGACACCAUCUGGAAGAUGCAUACCCUUCUGAGAAGACGAUAACUGAAACGGCUGAUGCUUCAAUUGCAUUCACAAGUGACUCCGAAAUUUCGUCUCCUCUGUUAAGUUGGUCAUCAAUGAAAGUUUGGAUAUUUUGUCGACACAGAGCAGAAUAGAGAUGGCUAGUAAAGUUGUCUCGGGUGUCCUCUCCUCUGAAACUAAGAAAAAGAUCAUCCUUCUUGUUGUUUCCAUAAGAAGAAGCCAUAAUCAACAGAAACAGUUGAAUUGAUUAGGGAGAGAUUUUGAUUCAGAUGAAAACAAUUAUUGAACCAAAUGUGCGCGACUCUGUACAAUAAAUCGAUGCCAUGAGCCUUCCUUCAAGUUCCGUGAUAGUUUUCAAUUUCAUCUCAUUGUCCAAGCACCGUGCACUCCACGAUGAUUGAUUAAUUCCACUGCUUUGUAGACUUUUAGCUGAAAAUUCCACACGAACACCAUACUUUUCAACACACGUGCUUCUGUGCUUUAAUACUCAUAACUGCCAGCAAUAAGUAGGGUAAUAUUUUAAUUUUUAUCUCUGAAUUUAUCUUUUCGGUCCUCAUCUCUCAAUUAAUUGUAUUUAGUUUCAAAAUUGUUCUUUUUUUUUUUUGUUUUAGUAGCUCUUAUUCAUGUUCCUUAGGGUUGAUUGUUAAGCAUAUAAAGUCUAACUUUUAAAAAAAAAUUAGUUAUUUAUUUUUUAUAACUUAUAUAUGAUUUUUAAAUAUUUAUAUUUAAAUUAAAAAAGUAAUUUUUUUUUGUGACCUUUGCCUAAAUGAAAAAUGUAUGAAUGGAAAAUAAAUAGUAUAUUCAAAGAUUAUUUCUAUUCAAUAUUGUUAUUUCCUAAACUAUAAACGGGUCACAUGUGGCUAAUUGUCAAAGCAAUAGCAAGCUGUUAGCUUAAAGCAAAGCACAUUCAUGCUUCACCCAUGAGAAUACAACCAAUUCUAAUGCAUGUAUUGUGACACACGUGCAAGCUAAAAGGAGGCACAUGUGGUUAAUUGUCAAAGCAAUAGCAAGCUGUUAGCUUAAAGCAAAGCAUGUGCGAAGCAUGUGCGUGCUUCAUCAAUAGAAUAUGUGAGUGGAUUAUUAUUAUUACUAUUAUGUAUUUUACAAAAUAUUUAUGUUUGAUAGUAUGAUUUAGUAUAAUGUUAUGAUUAAAUGUACGUACAUUAUAUGAUUGACUGAGUCAUAAGAUGUAAUUGACAGGCACCAUAUGUGUACAUUUCUCCAUAGGCUCUACGCAUGCGUAUUGAGAGUUAAAUUACUCGACCCUUGUGAUGUUGUUAAUUCUACUGAGUAUUGAGAGGUUUUUCCCCCUUUUUACUCGUGCGAUGAUGAUCCCAGUAAGUAUUGAGAGUUAUUUUCCAUGUAUAUUAUUUGGUGCAAUUUUGUCAUGUGUGUAUAUACGAGUUCAUGUUUGCUUUUGUAAAGCGUUCAGUGUAAAGUUAUGUCAUACAAUUAUGACGAGCACUAAAGCACUAAUUUAUUUUUAUAUAUAAUUAUAUUCAUUCAUUGAGCCGCAAGCUUAAUAUUUUCCUAUUUACCCCAUUUCUCUAAGGUUUCCAUAGGAUUUCGUGUAGUUCAAUUUCUAAUCAAUUGAGGUUGGGCCACGACACACAUUACUGCACGACUUACAUUUUGACCACGUUUAUGUUUAUAUGUAUAUUUUUGAAGUGUAUGUAUGUACAGUGAGAUAUGAACUAUGUAAGUUUUUAAUAAAAUUUUGAAUGAGGCACAUAGAUUAUUAUCUGUUUAUAACAAAGGGCAAGGCUAGUGUUAUAUAUUCCUGAAUUAAGUUUAUGUCAUGAGCUUUAGAUAUAAAAUUGCAUGAUUCACCCCAAAUCCAACAGAAGGGUUGAGGCAGUUUGUGUCAUGUAUGAUAUGUACAUAUUUAUAUUCAAUAUAACCACCAUUUGAAUGAUAGUUUUUUAAAAUCAAUGCACAUGUUUCGUAGCAUGAUUCACUUGUUGUAUGCCUACACAUGGUACUUUUGAUGUAUUCUAAAAUUUCUUCUUUAGUUAGAGGCAUUUGUUUUAAAAUUUUAUUUAAAAGAAGGUCAUUUUAAAUUUUAAAAUGUGAAGUGUAUUUUCUACAUCACUAAAGGAUGAAAUAGCCUUCAAUAUAGAUUUCUUAAUAAAUUUUAAGAGAACUAACAGAAAGUGGUUAUCUCAUUCAUGGUUAUUAAAUCAAAAUUUGAAUUAGAUCAUCACUGGUCCAAAAUAAACUAUCGUCAUUUCAAAUUGAAGCAUGAAACCGUGAAUGGAUGCAUCUUUAAAUAAAAGGAUACAUUUUUAUUACAUAUGUCACUGUUUAAUUAGACAUAUCUUUACAGUCGGACACAUUUUUAGAGCACCAUUUAUAUUGAAAAUAUUCCAGCAUAAAAUAUGUCCCUCUCCUUAUACAAGUAUUUUGCAAAUAAUACAGAGCCACCACGAGUUCAAAAAUAAUAAAACAAUAACAUUGCUCACUUGCUCGACUGGGCUGGAUUGGGCUGAUUGGGCUGGGCCUGCCAUAAGAAUGUGUAAGUACGAAGCUUUGCUUUCAUCAUCGCAUACACGGUGAGGGAAAUUGAAAUUGAUGAGGGCGCUGGCCGCUCAAUUCCUGCUUCGGAUUCCCCAACUCGGAAUAUAAUCUAUACCGUCGUACAAGCAUCGUCGGGACUUAGAAGAAUUACUUAGAAUUGACCGACGAUGAGCUGUUUCGCGAAUGCGAAAUGGACGCGUACAAAUCGUCGGGACCAGGCGGUCAGCACCGCAAUAAGCGCGAAUCCGCCGUACGUCUCAAGCACGUACCUACCGGCGUCAUAGCGCAUGCCGCCGAAGACCGAUCGCAGCACAAGAAUCGCGCGUCAGCUUUGUAGCGCCUCCGCACUCUUUUGGCCCUCAAAGUGUGGCCGUCAGUGCUUGAUGGCUUAUUUUUAAGUAGCUUUAAAGCAUAUUUGGCUCUUUGUUUAUGAAUAAUGUUCAAUAGCAACCUGCUCCAUUGAUAAGAGAAAUGUAUGAUAUAAUUUUUCAAGAUACCUACCUGCAUUAUGAAUUGUUAUUGGAAGGAAGUACGACAAUAAAUUAAGAGCAAAGACUGAUUUAAAGAUGUAUCUUCAUUAUUACAUGAAAUGUAUGUUCUGCUUCUCAUUCACUUUACCAGAAUUACAAAAGUUUUAUGUUAUUGAUGGUUGGAUUGUUUCUGGGUUAUCCUUGUUAUUAUUUUUUUUGUUUUAAUUGCUUUAGAUACAUUUGAAACAUGAAAAUUUUAAAAAACUUUCCGAUUUGUGCAGGGUAUGAAGCCUCUUAAGUAGGACUUCUUUGGUGCUACUAUUGUGUUCGGCAAAUAUUUUCUUCUUUUAUUUUUCUUUUUUCAGUCACCAUAAUGGGGGUCAUGGUGAAACAACUUACUAAUCACUCUGGACAGGAAUGGGCUUCUAUAAGUAAAGCACACUUAUUUCACUCUUUCCUUAGUACUCACCUAAAGGGGUUAUGGUUGCGACAUGCCUGGAUGGAAACAACCAAUUGUAUCCGUUAGCCAUUGAGGUUAUGGAUUCGGAAAACAAUGAUGCUUAGGAAUGGUUUAUGACGAAAUUACAUGGAGUAAUUGGUGAUACGCCGGAGUUGGUAUUUAUCUCAGACCGAUGCACCGCGAUCAAGAGAGCCGUUUUAAAAGUAUUUCGCUCAGCUGCCCAUGGCAUUUGUUUUUACCAUGUCAAAGACAAUGUUAAGUCAAAAUUCAAGAUGUCGAACUUUAGGUACAACUUUUCCUUUCCUUUUGAAGGCCCACUCCACUGGCAUAGAGAGUAAAAAGAGUUUCUUAUAAAUAAUUUUAGGAGGAUGCUUCUGCCACGACAAGUAAUACCAUAAACAAAUGAUUUCACCACAUUUCAAGAAAGCAUUUAACUUAUGCCUCAUUUUCAUUCUAGCAAUUUGCUUGCCAUUGGCUGAUUGGAAAAAGUGCAUUUAAGUGAUAGAUUACUGUCAACCUAUAGCACGAAUAGGGGUUAAACAAAGUAAAUCCCUAUCUUUACAUGUCAAAUAACAGACUUUCAUAAUAUCAAAUAUCAAAACUCAUGUCUAGUAAAGGAUUCCCCAAUGCUGGCUCUCAAAAUUGCUUUUGUUUCAUGGAUGAGAUGAUCGUUUUUGUGGAUAUUCUGCUCAACUUGGAUUAUGACUUGACUAAAUCUUAGUUGAUUUGCUUUUCCAAACUAAAUCCAAGCAAGUAAGUACAAGAGAUAAAAGCAAAAGUUCAAACAUCUCAUUUGAGCCUGUCACUAACAAAUGGUCAACGAGCAAUGUCUAGCUAUGACUGAGCAACAGAAUCAAUAAACAGACAGACAAAAAAUAAUAAUCAAGUCAUCUGUCAAAUGCUAGUCCAUGAAAAUCAUAUAUAUAUAUAUAUAUAUAUAUAUAUAUAUGUAUGUAUAUGUAUAUGUAUAUGUAUAUGUAUAUGUAUAUGUAUGAUCAUUCAUUUCUCAAUCAACCACCAAAUUGAUGUCAACCAAGCCAGGAGGAUUGUCUCACAAGUCUUUCAAUUUCCCUCUCUUUAGGCCAGAGACCAGUAAACCAUUUGAAAUAUGGAUGUGCAAACCAGUAAAUAAAUCAUGAAGUUACACACUAGUCUGCUUUCGCACUCAUUCAGAACUAUCAAUGAUACUUACUGCAGCGCAGGUACGGUGUAUACAUUAUACUAAAGUGAAGGCUGGAUCAAUAAGAAAUUCAAAAUGUUUCAUCACAUUUGGGGCUUGAUGAUGCCAAAAAAAGACCAUACCAAUUAUGAUGAACAGUAAAAUGUGAACAAGAACAAGCAUACAUUUAAGAAAGCAGAGAAGCAUCAUUAAAAUAAAGUAUUCUUCUUACUAUUCUAUGUUGUUGGAAAAUGGACCAAAAUAAAAAAGAAACCAUGUAUGGUUAACGUCACAACAAGAGUAUUUGUGCAUUUGUACAUCAUAGGAUAUUGGGAAGACAUCAGUAGGGAAGUGCAAAUUUUUUUUUUUUUUUUUGAGGAAAGGAUCAGAGAAGUGCAAGUCAAAAAGGAGAAAAAAUGAAAACAGAGAGAUCAAAAGGAAUGCGAUCUAAUUAAUCGUCUAAGGAGACUACUAUGCUACAUUUAGCCAUUGGUUGAAUAGGCAGCUUGUUUUCUAGUACAACUUUAAAUUUUCCAAGAUUUAGAAUUUUCCUACUGAAGAAAACUAAUUUCUCAAGCUUCUAUUACCAUCUUCAUCCCAACGGUAAGCAGCUCCAUCCACAGCAAUCACUGGCCUCAUGCACUGCAUGAAACCCUUGAUAGAAGAGCCAAUAGCUACAAAAUAGUAUAAGAAAUUAUCAUUUCCAUCUCGCUGCAGGUGAGUAACUGUACCUUCAUUUGCUUUGGUCAAAACAUGAGAGUAUUUAGAAAGUAAGUUAUAUGACUCUGCAGGGUUGCCUCUAACUAUUUCAAGGCCAACUUCUUUGGCCCGAUAUGCUUGCUGAUAUGUUAAUUGGACACCGUAUUCAUGUUGGAUGUCUGCUCUGAUAUCAUUUGGAGUAUAUAUUCGUUUUUCUUGGAUGAACUUGUCCGCAAUAAUAUGACCAACAACCCGACUCCUUACUUGACGAACACCACCAGCCAAUACCUCAUUACAACAAGUGUGUACGUUGUCAACUCUUCUCACUAACCACGGAACAUUCUGCAUAUAGCCUAAUUAUUACACAUGAUAUUUUGCUGCUGCCAUACUACUUACAUGCGAGUGCUGAUUUUUAAACAGAAAUAUUAAACAGAGCACUGACAGAAACAGAGUUAACACCCGACCGGGUUACCGUGUUAAUUGAAAACAAUUAAUUAACAGGACAAAAACACGAUAAAUCUGGUGGUUUUGUAGUUAAUUCUGCCUGCCCUCUGUCAAUUUCUUUAGUAUUUUUCCUCAUAUAUUUGACAUAUUGACCUAUCUGUGGCUGGAAAGAAAAAUGAUUUAAGUAAACUUUCCAAAAUGUUUUAUCAUUAUUUUAUUUCUGAAUAUCAGCAGUGCAUCAUUUUGAAAAUGUAACUGUGGGGUUUCAGGAUCCUCUCGAGCCAGUUUUGUUGUUCACAAAACCCCUUGUGCCAGAAAAAUUGGACGCUGCAGGUAUUGUUCCGCCGUCAGAUUCUUCUACGAGGAAUGGCACUAUAGCACGAACUCACAAAUUUCAUGGAAGAAUUGGCCGAGGGGGGCGGAUAGUAUUUGAUAGAUGUAAUCCUCUUAUGCACUCCUCAACUGAUAGUGGCACGUCUUUUUACUUGCCACCAAAACCCCGCACAUCUAUGUACAGUUAAAUUGAAUACUCGUUUUGUUUAAGCUCCAGCAUUAUUCGUUAGGGAGCCAAGUGUAAUUAUGCUCCGGCUGAUAUUUAUGUAGUUAAAUUGAAUACUUCCAUUGUCCCAGCUCCAGCAAUUAUUUGUUUGGGAAGUCAAGUGUAAUUAUGCCGAGGGCAAGCAAAAUACUAGGCUUGAUGAAUCUUUUCAGGCUUGGUCACAGGUAUUUCAUGACGUGCAUCUUGCCUUAUUCUUUUUAAAGAAAUGACCUUGCCCUUAUUUUCCUUUCAAGUUUAAACUUAAUGAGCUUUUAUUACAUCCUUUAUUGUUGAAAUGCUUGUGCUAAUCAUAGUAUUUUCAAAAUUUUCAGCCCAGUUGAUUAUAAAUUUUGUGUGAAUGUUACAAGAUAAAACUUACCUUUAAAAUGUUAACGAACCUGUAGGAUUGGACUUCUCUUUAAGACCUUGAAUUAAGUGGAGGGUGUUUCGGGGUUAAUAAACCAGGAACUAUGCAUAUACUUGGCCAAUAAGGAAUCCUACUAGUACAGAAUAAGGUUGUACAAGACAGUUAAAUAGAUGACGCAAUGGAGACGUCUCUGUAUCGACUCAAUUCAAACUAAUUGUACAACUUCAUUUCUGAAGGAGUCACCAUUUUUAGUCCCAUUUGGAGAAUGUGUACGUCUGGUGUUAAUGCUUAUAAUGAAAAUGAUGCACUAUGAUGCACUCAGGUUCUUUGUCCUCUCUUCUCUUCUGGUUACUCCAACACUCUUUCUUGACGUGCCCUUUCUUGCCACAGUUGUAGCAUUUAACAUUCUUCUUACUUCUGGAUUUUGAUCUACCCUGAUUUUGACUCCCACUGGGGCCACGUUCCGUUGAUCUCCCUCUCGUCACCGAUAGCGCUUCUGCUUGCUGCGAACUUGCUUGUCUAUUUUCCUUAUUUUUCCGCCUGCUCUCCUCAUUUAAUACGGAGGCUGCAACAUCGUCGAAAACUAGACUCUCCACUGGAUUGUUGUUCGUCAAGUUGAUGAUGAGUUGAUCAUACGAAUCUGGUAGACUUUGAAGUAGAAGCUCUGCACGUUCAUUUUCCUCUAUAUUAUGACCCAACGUUGUGAGUUGUGAAAAUAGAGUCUUCAAGGUGUUGAUGUGGUCGGUCACCAUUGUAGAUUCCGCCAUUCGAAGAGUAUAAAGUCUCCUCUUUAAGAAGAUUUUAUUGUGUAGUGACUUGGCCUCGUACAAUUUUGUAAGAGUAUCCCAUAUUUCCUUCGCUGUGUUUUUCUCUGCCACACUAGAUAAUACUCCAUCUGCAAGUGCCAAGUGUAGAUCAGAAAUGGCGUUGCCGUCUACCUCGUUCCACUUGUCAUCAGUUAUCUCCAUGGGCCUUUCUCCAAUUGUUGCCAAGCAAUUAUUUUUCCUCAAUACAGCUUUCAUCUUCAUUUUCCACAACGAAAAAUUAUUUCCGUUAAAUUUCUCAAUUUCAUACUUUGCCGCCAUUUUGUUGAUAAAUACUGCACACAAGCUAGUAUACCACCUUGAAUAGUUGUGAGUAUGUGUGAGAAUGCACACCAGGAAAGUUCCCAGGAAAGACUGGAGGGGUCACAAUGGUCCCACUUAAAACCCAGACUCCUUAAGCUCUUAUCGCCUUUGUGACAGAACUUUCCUAGACAUGUACAGAACCACACAGUUGCUUUACUCACACCAUUAUUCCCUGCUUUGCACCGCAAAAUUCUUGGAUUGCUUCCACCGUUUCACGUGAAUAGUACCGUAUACGUGAAUAGUGAUGUAUACCGUAUACGUGAAUAGUAUCGUAUACUGUAUACGUAAAUAGUGCCGUAUGCCGUAUACGUGAAUAGUGCCGUACGCCGUAUACGUGAAUAGUGUCGUAUGCCGUAUAUGUGAAUAGUGCCGUAAACCGUAUACGUGAAUAGUGUCGUAUGCCGUAUACGUGAAUAGUGCCAUACGCCGUAUACGUGAAUACGUGAACAAUUCCUGACUCCAAAAAUACAACCAAUGGCUCUGAUACCACUGUUAGGAAAUUGGUGGGUGAAGCAGACACGCAGCUAAAGUAAAAUUGGUAGAAAAAUAAAGAACGAGCACAAUAGAGGACACCAGAAAAUUACGUGGUUCGGCUUUUAGCCUAUGUCCACGGGCGAAGACAGAAGGAAAUAUUUUACUAGUGAAAAGGAGUUACAAGUAUUGUAGUAUUUUAGCUCACUUCCCAAAACCCCAAUACACCCAAACUCUCUCAAUCACUGUAACAAGAGCUUAUAAAUGCAAGCUCUCUAAAUUCUCUCUCAACUUCCUAAAUUGCUCUCUGAAAUGGAAUUAAAAGUACUCUUCAUCUGUACUUCUAUUUAUAGCAAACUAGUGGCCAAGAAAAUCAAAGCCGUGUUCACCAAAUUCUUCAUCAAAAACCGUGUGCAGCAAAUUCAAUCUUCAAACUUUGAACAACUUGUUGUUGACCAUCUAGAUGGCUGCUUCAAACCAUCUAGAUGGCUGGCUGCUUUUGACAUAUGUUUGGUGUUUUUCAAUUUAAAAUUGUGUCUAAUAGUGUAUUUUCAGAAUUGGACUAUAAAAAUAGAAAUAGAGAAAAUGAUAUAAAAUUAAGGUAAUAUAGGACGAAAAAGUAUGGACAAGGAAGCAGUAAUAUUUGGUGUUUUUCAUUUUUUUCAAUAAAAAAAUGAAAACAAAAUUUUCAAUAUCUAUUCAUCAUUUUUUGGGAAAAAAAAAAGAAGCUUAAAGAAUAAAUGAAAGGGCGUUUUAAAACAAAAAUGUGAUUGGUGUUUGAAUAAUGACCCUCUCGGUUAGGCAAAACAGUCACAUAAUCAUUUUUUUUUAAAACACAAACCUUUUGGUUCAGAAAUAAUCACACAAAUCUCAAUCUUUUAGCUAAAAAAGAGUUUGUGUAUCUCAAAAGAGACAUGUGUGACAUUUUCUAAAAACAAAAUAUCUUUAUAGUUAUUUUGCCAAAUCACGUGGUGCCUUUAGAAAUAGGAUAGAUUUUAAUUUGCCCCCAAUUUAAAAUGAAAAUCUUUAAUUUAUCACCCAAAAGUAUAAAAAUAUCAAGUUACCCCAUUUAUUGUUAAGAGGAUUAAAACAAAAAAACCAUCAACACAUUCCUUAUUUGCCCCUCAUCUUUUGGACGGAAAUGAAGAAUAAAUUGAGGUUUACAUUGAGAGCAAAUUAGAGAUUAUCAUUUUAUUUGGGAAUGAAUUAAACUUUAUCCUUAGAAAUAAAAAAUUCAAGAGAAGUACAUCAAAAAAGGUAAUAUAGUUUUCACUUUUUAUGGAGUAUUUGGGUAAGGGUAUUUGCACCCCACUAUUUUUGUAAAUCCACCCUACUUCUAGAAACUAAUUGCAAUGAAUUCACAAUAUUUUUUUAAAAAAUACAAAUUAAUAAAAAUUUUGUAUAGUUAAUCAGUUAAAUCCUUCUAUUAAUUUUUUUCUUGGGUUUUUUGACCAUCUUUAAUCAUAAAAUUUUAAUACAAGUUUUAUUUUAGUAUUUUAUUAUUAUGAUAUAUAGCGACUAAAUUACCAUAAUAAACAUGAGUUAUUUUAAAAUAAAAUGUUGGAGAAAUAUUCAAGGGUAAUAAUAAUUGUGGAAAGAGUGGGACUAUUAGCAGCCCUCUAUAUACCUCUUGAGCCCUGCUUGGAUAGUUACAAUUAUAGAUUAAAUUAAAAUUAUGAUAAUGGACAAACAAGUAGAUAGUCUGAUUGGAUGUGGAAUGAUUUCAUUUGAAUUUCUCUAAAGUUUAAACCAACUUACAUUUUUUCCACAUUGAAAGAGGAAUAGGUGGAAAGGUUAAAAUUGUAAAAGAAUAUUAUAACAGUUUCGAAGAAGAAAUCUUUAUGACGCAUUUUUAACUUGGUGAAAAUUUUCAAUCCCAAGAACUUUAAGCAUACGAAAGAGUGGAUUCUCUCAUUUCCGCCAUUUGUGAGGAUGAUAGUAACGAAGAGAGAACUCACAGAUUUAGUAGUGACGAAGCGAGCAACAGCAGCAGGAGAGAGAUAACAGCAGCACGGAGGAAGAUCAACAGCAGUGAAAGAGACAGAGCAGCAGCACCAGAGUGGUGAAGAAGAGAGAAUAGCAACACGUGCCAAAGAUGGAGAAAAAGAGCGAUUAGAUCUAUGAUAAGGGAGAGUGAAUGGGAAGAUCGCGAUAAGAUUUUAGGCGAGAGAAAUAGCGGUCACGGAUAAGCCUUGGAUUCUCUAUUUUUUGAUUUAUUUUAGCUUUAUAUUUGUAAUUCAUUGAGAAUAAGUUAUACACGUUCUCAAAUUUAUAACUAUAAAAGAAGAUAUGAAUUAUUUGUUUUACAAUUUGUUUUUUGAAUUUCGGCCAUCAAUCGCGCAUUAACUUAGAUUUAUAAAAGGAAAAUGAAAACAGGGCCCAUAAAUAUUACCGAACAUGCCCUAAUAUUCUCCACUAAUGUGCCAUUUUAACCUCCUACAAAAGAGCUCCCAACGGCGUGGUUGGGUUAGUUGCAGUGAAGUUAUAUCCUCUACCAAAACUCGGGUUCGAUUUUUGGGGUUGGUAAGGAGGGUAAAAAUUGUAUUUGGGCUUGCCCACCCCCCGUACCUUUAAAAAAAGUUUAAAAAAAAAAACCUCUUACAAAAGCGGCUACUCAGAAUUCAUAAUUGACCUCAGAACUGCAGAUCAUACGAGAACCCACCAAUAAUGAAUAGGCGCUUAAUGCAUUUGUUUCGAUUGUGAUAGGCCUACUAGGGCCGAACCUAGUGCAAUCGAUGCCAAAAAAUGUCUAUAUAUACCUAUACUAGUUUUAUGGGGUGUUGAGGAUCCAUUCACCCUCUUUGAUGGACCUGCUGGUUAAUACUCCUCAUUUCUACCUUCUUAACUCUCAAAUGUGCAAGUUAAUUGUAUUGGAAGGAGUGGGACAUCAUCCCCAUGACGACAGACCCAAGGAGAUCCAUGAAAAGCUGCUUUCUCGGUUGGCUGAAACAUUUAAGUGCUGAGGAAUUUACUUUCUCAUCUGCAAGUUUUGAUGAGCAUUAUUUAUUAUUCCUAAUGUAAAAUGACAAACAACUCUUGUAUUUAUAGUGUUAUAUUUUUUUUUAUUCAACCGCUUGAAUAUCUUUUGGCAUCGAAAGAAUGUAGGAGAAACUGAUCCCUGACAAGUUGUAAAAGCUCCAAAUUGAUUCAAGAAAUGUACCAAAUUAUUCAAUAAAAAGUCAAAUUCAGCACAAUAAUAAAGAACAAAUUAAUCUAUAUUGCUCAUGUUAAUGAUAUGUGAAUGAUAAGAUUCAAUUUUUCAUAUGAAAAAGAUACAAUAAUCUAAAUAGAAAUAAAGGUUCAUGGGCAUCUUUAACCUUUCCUUACAAGCUAGUUUUUUAAAGGUAAAUUCUACCCAUAGAUGAUACCACGUCAACUAUGGAAUCAAAUGAAACAUUUCGAAUAUGGAAUUGGUAUAAAUACUUGAAAGAGUGGAUACAUGUUUGUUGAUACAUAAAUCUAGUUGAGCUAUGUAGCGACCAGACAACCAGGCCAACACUUAAAUUUGUUGUUAUUGGAGAGACGGUUCUAUGCUAUUUCCUCACUAUCGAAUAAGUUCUUGCGACCUCAAGUACUUCCUUCAAGAACACCUACGUUUAUAACAUCUAGUUAGAGGAUGCCUGAGGUUUUUCCGGCGUGAACCCUCCGACGCUUAAGUGGGCGAUCUGGGUCUACUUGAAAAAACUCGUGACAUGAUUCACGUGACUUAAUUACAACUACUCUGAAUGAAAAAAAGGUUUAAUUUCAUAAAAAAGGAAAAAUAGAGAAGAUAAAAUUGUGAAUAGAGAGAGUAUGAAAAAAUUAAGUAAAAAAUUAUCUAAACCCCUUACCUCUAUUCUCUAAAGCUUUAAUAUCCAACCAAAAUUAUCGGCCUCCUCUCUCCCCCAACACCGUUGCUGGGUUGGUCACAUAACUGUGGGAGAGUAGGUAGCGUAACUGCUAGUGAGUGGGCUUCAUGCUCGAAUUCUUUGGAGGAAACCCAUGGGUUGACCUUUAACCAAGUCGUCGAUUUGACUUAACUCUAGUCUCUCCUCGUGCUUCCUCGAGCCGACUUUGCUCAUGUGACCAGCCACACACCUCAUCGGGGAUAAUCUUUCUCGAUGAGUCAUUUUAGGCCGAGGGGAGCACAUUUUGCUCAUGUGUGCCUGAUCAUGAUGUUUUUCACCCCAAAAUAGAUGUUUAAGCAAACUGAUUCAUAGAAAAAUUGAGUUGGUGAAAAUGACAUCUAUCAUGUUCUUUUUUUUAAAAUCAAUAUACAAAUAUGUUUUUUAAAAUAUAUAAGAUUUAACGGAGUUUAACUGUUCCCUCUUUAUUGCUUUUGCUUCCACAUGAUAAAACUUUCCCAUAUACAACAAUUUAGAUUUAACAAAAUAUAAAAUUUUCAAAUGUGAUUGCGUUAUAUACAUGAGAGUUGAUGUAGUGCGCAACGGGAUGAGUGGCAUGUGUUCAUUGGUUGAGAUAUGGGCCAACAACAUACUCUGUAAGAACUCGUUGCGCGUCCUGUAAUAUUCCAUGCCGCUGGCAAAUGAGUUUUUUCACUAGUUUAUAAUUCACAUGCUCACCUAAGUAGAUGUGUUUUGGGUUGCAAAGUCCAAUAACAAAUCGUUGUGGGUGGUGUGUGCAGAGCCAGAAAGAAGGCCAAUAGUUUUAAUUUUACAAUAUACAUCAUGUGCUUUUCAUACAUUAUACUCUUCACCUAAUAAGGUAAAGUUCAAUACUCUAGUGUGAAUUUGAAAGAAAGUUAAAAGCUGUUUGUUUCAAGAGAAAAUUUACAGAGGAAAAUUAAAGUUCUUAUUUCUUUUACUCUUUUUCCAUUACUUAACAACUGAACAUAUACAGCUUAUAUACUCGAAGAUAUUUACAUACACAUGCUAAAGGAACUAGUAACAAACAUUAACAACUUAUGCUGACUUAUUAAUUCCCGUAACUAAUUCUGCUGAUCUGGCACUGAUGAGCUGGCACAAUUAACUUGCUUCACUAACUAAGACUGAGAACUUCUUUGCCUUCCUGUUCUUCAUAAACGCAGCACAAUGAGCUUCCCUAAUAGAAUUUGCGUUACAUGCACCAGAUCCGUCGAAAGUUAUAACAUGAAUGUUUUGUUCCAAGAACUGAUUUUGGCACUUUCUUCUAUUAUUAAUAGUGAUUUGAAAAAGGAAAACAAUAAAAAUACAUUCAUGAAAAUCUCAGUCUUCUUCGUUAUAGUUGAAACAUCUGCUUGGGUCUUCCAUUGAAUUCGUAGAGUCUGCAAUGCCAAAAAAUUGGAUCCCACAUUUUUUCACUCCGCAACACUCACACUCCAAAGGUGGAAAAACAUUAAAGUGGAUUGUCUCAGGAAAGCAAUUGCAUUUCCAAAAACCAUUAAAAUCCUCUUCAUAGAACAAAUAGUAUCCCAAAUGUAAGUGAUCUGAUUCUAAAUAAUUAACUCUUCUUUGAAAUAACAGUGUGUCAUGCGGAUCACAAUCUUUGGUGGUUUCCACUUUGAGCUCACAAGAAAAUGAAAACCAUCUACCAUAAUCUACAUGACGGCCUGAAAAUCCUAAAAUAGCACCAAAUGCAAAGCCCAGUACUCUGUUGUUAUUGAAGAAAUCUGGGGGCAUCUCUAACGUUAUAAAAGAUCCCACACUUUGAAAAUUAAACCACCUUGGAAUUUCAUUCCCAGCUAGUACGUAAUGGCCUUCCUUGGGAAAACCUCUCUAUACCAAAAGAUCAAAAUUUUAAACCCAAAAAAAAGGUAUAAAUUGUAAGGAGAAAGAAUUAAGACACACCUUUUCCCGUACUUCUUUCCAAUGGGCAGGUACCACAUGGCCCAUAUAUUGAAUUCUCAUGUCAUCUUCAAUAAUUCCUGCAGUAGUAUUACCUUGCAAUUAAAAAUUAUUGCUCUAGUAAAAAAACAUUGCCUAUAAGAUUCAGAACUUAGAGAAUAAACCUGUUAAUGAUUGUGGUGCCGAGUAAUGAUCGGCAUCUAACCAUCGUACAAGGAAUAGAGGCUUUGGUAAGGAUUGAAGCCCCUCACAAUAAUCGAAGAGGAUGUAUCGCAACAUAAAUUGUUGGAUAAUGCUUUCUGGUAUUCUCUCAAUAUUGGUUUUCAAUAGAUUCACUACUAAUGGCGACGAUAACUGGCCAAGCCAUUCGGGCAAUCUCUGAAGAUUUGAGCAACCACGGAGACUAAGAAGUUCAAGAGACUUCAACUUACAGAGGCUGCUUGGGAGACUCUUAAGCCUUUUACAAUCCGAAAGGUCUAACAACCAAAGCCUAAGUAGAAGCUCAAAUGAUGAGGGCAGUUCUUCAAUUGCAGUUCCACUUAAAAAUAGCCGGCCUAUGUUACCAGAUGAGAUCUCUGGAAGCCUCUUCAACUUUGAACAACCCGAAAGAUCAAGUUCGGUAAGAAAUUCCAAAUUAAACAUUCCAGCUGGAAGACUUUUCAGGGUUUUGCUACCGCUUAGAUUCAAGAUAACUAGCUUGUUCAGAUGUGGAAUCAACGUGGGGUUUAGAGUUUUGGGAAUUAGCUUCUUGCAGGCAGCAUGGAUUAGCUGGUUUAACUUACUAUAAUGCUGCUCGGUCAAAAAAGAGGCAAAGAUAAAAUCAUUAUUAUGCAUGAUAAUUUAAUGUUCUUAUUGAAAUAUUGCACAUAUAUAUUAAGAUAAACAUACCUUCACACCAUUCCAAAGUUGUUCAAUGUCGCUAUUAGGCACUUCAAGAAACACAAGCUUCUCUGCACUAUGGUUUGAAGGCAAUGACUUCAACGGAUAUCCAUGCCAGUGAAGAUAUUUCACUUCAGCAAAUCUGAGGUCUUGCAAAUGAGACACCUUGCAUUUGUUCUCCCCAUUGAAUGAUGAACUAUAGAAUUUUAAAAAUCUCAAUUUACGCAUCUUUGCGAAAGUAAUGGGAUUUAGAUGGAUCUCUUUUACUUUUGCCAUAUCCAAACAGAUGCCCUCAAUUUUUUCUGUCCCCUAAAAAUAAAUAGAAAAAUCAAUAAAGUUAACAUCAAAUGAAAAAUGAUAUUUAUAUUCCACUAGUGAUUAACACUUCAGCUCCACCAAGACAAAUUUUUGGGGCAAGUUUGUCACUCAUUCACAAUUAAAGGUAGCUUAGUUAUUAAUUCAACUUUAAUUUGUCCUUGUGUGGAGUUUAUGUCAGAUUGGAGUGGGGUUCUCCAUCAUUACUCAAAUUAAAUUUCAAUAAUUCAUGUUUAUUGUUAUUGCUAGGCAGUUAAACUCUUAAUUGCAAAUGCACAAAGAAACAUAAUAGUACAAGUAAUACUUAACAUAAAAAUUCUGUAUGUGUACUAUACAAAUUUAUAUAUCAAUUAUGCUUGAAAACGGUUAUGCAAGUUGUCAACCGCAUUUAUAAUUUAUUGCUACAUCACCUAACCACUAUUGUUUUUUCCGAUCAUUGUGACUCUUGUAUUAAUUCUAAGACUCAUUUGUUCGAGCGUAAAUAAAUAUAUUCACAUCAAGUUUUGAAACACUACAAUAUUCCAAAAUAAUAAUCCACAACAAGCUGCUUACCGUAUUAUACGUAAGAACUUCAUAGAUAUCCUCAUGAUGCCACAAUCUACUGCGGUUUUCAGGAUUAAUUGAUUCUUGUCGAACAAUUUCCCUACCCAAUUCUUGUAGUAAAUCAUGCAUUGUUAUCUUUUUGUGUGAAUCAAUAGCGAUGAGAGACUUAUCAACAAGAACACUUAUUCCUAUUUCUGGGUAGAAGCCGCUUGCAUUAAAGAAUUUCAUUAUAGGAUUUACAUGCUCACCUCGAAAGAAACAAGCAACAUCAAGGAAAAUACUUUUCUCUUUAUCGUCCAAAUCAUCAUAACUUAUUUUUAAUACCUCUAGAAUACUUGGAUGGAGGAUUCUUUGCAAUUUAUCUAUUGCGCUUUCCCAGACUUCUUUUUCCCUUUUAUGUAGAAAGCAACCCAAAACUUUAAGAGCUAAAGGAACACCUUGUGCAUAUUUCAUUACUUUGCUUGAAAAAUCCUCAUAACCAACAUCAGGAUGGUUUUGUUUGAAGGCAUGUCGACUAAAAAGCUCAAGAGCGUGAUGAUAUUCUAAUGCCUGCAUCUCAUAAAUUUUCCUCACCCCCCAAUUUCGAAGCACUUGUUUAUUUCUGGUGGUUAUUAUAAUUCGACUCCCAGGCGUCAACCAAUCAAGACUUCCGAUUAAGGAUUCUAAUUGGUUGAAGAAAGUCACAUCAUCAAAAACAAUCAGAACCUUCAUACGGCUGAGCCUUCUAAAAUUGAGGUCAAUAUAAGGCAUCACAUCUUUAUCCUUCAAUAAAUUUGAAAGAAGUUUUUGUCGUAAGCAAGCUAAUCCUCCUGGUCUUUGUGACUCUUCUCUAACAUUUUCGAGGAAGCAAGAACCUUCAAAAUCACCCGAGAUUUUGUCGAAAAUAGCUCUAGCAAUUGCUGUUUUGCCUAUACCACCAAUGCCCCAAAUCCCUAAAGCAUAAACAUCUUUCGACUCAACACCUAAUAGGGAUUCAAUUUCCUCAACUGUUGAUUCCACUCCAACCAGCUGGUUUUUGUUAUCACGGGGCUGAAACACUUCAUCCAAUCUCUUCAAAAUGUGAUUAACAACUUCAUUUGUAAGUUCCGACUCACACCUAGCAAAUACAUAAAAUUAGCCAAAGUAACUUCAAAUUAAUACGAGGAAUUUGCAUUAAGUAUGAAGUAAGGGAGAUUGUCAGUUUUCUUAUUGAAAUUAAUAUAUACCACCACUAGUCUACAAUCUCCCAGUAAAUUAAUAACUCUUAAAUUACAGGAAUAUGUGUGAGUUUUUUUUUUUUUUGGAAAAAUUAUCACUGCACUACCUCUCUUUUGUCUUAUAUUCAUCCAACCACCACAAAAUUAUAACAUAUUCUUUACACCACCUUUUUUUUUUAAAUUUAUAUCAAUUAGCCACUUUUGCACUAACACCGUUAAAUAAUUUAAACAAAAUGAUAAAUUUACCUCUAAAUAAACUAAAAGAUCAUUUUAUUUUAUAAAAGCUUGGAAAAAUAAAAAAAAAUUAUAAUUAAAAAAAUACCCCUAAAUUUAAUAAAAAAAAUCUCAAAUAGAGGUGCUCAGCUAAUUUUAAUUAAAUUUAGAUUUUAUAAAAUUUUAAUAAUUAUGUUUUAUUAAAAAUUAUAAUUUUGUAAUAUUUUAAUAAAAAUAACUGAAUUUAUUAUUAAAAAAUUAUAAUUUUGUAAAAUUUAAUUAAAAUAACUGAAUUUAUUUAUUAAAAAAUAAAUCCUAAAAUUUUAAUAAUUUAGGGGAUUUUUAUUAAAUCCCAAAAUUUUGUAAUUAUUUUUAUCAUUUUAAUUUUUUAUUAAAAUAAUUUUUAUUAUAAUAUUGGGAUUUAUUUUUUAAUUAAAUUUAGGGAUAUUUUUAUAAUUAUAAUUUUUUUAUUUUCUUAGUUUUUACAAAAUAAAAAUGGUCUUUUAAUUUAUUUAAUGGUAAAAUUUUCAUUUCAUUUAAAUUAUUUCAUGGUGUUAGUGCAAUAGUGACUUAUUGAUACAAUUUUUUUUUUAAAAAUGUGGUGCAAAGAACAUGUUAGAAUUUUGUAGUGAUUGGAUGAACAAUAGGUAAAAGGAAGGUGGUGCAAUGAUAAUUUUUUUUUUUUUUUUUUCCUAAUGGUGGUGUAUGAGUGAGAGGUUGCAAUUGCUUAAAAACCGACAGACCACCACUAAUUUUGUUAGAUGUAUAUUGUAAAAUUCUCGAGCUUUUAUUAUUAAUUCUUUCAAAAUUAUUUUAUAAUUAUGGGAGCACAAAAGUGGGGAAGUCAGGAAGUCUAGAAUUUGAUGCUUAAAAAUUUUUAAAAUUGUAGUUUAGCAUCCGGAAAUUUAACUAAGAGUGCUGCGUGAAUUUUAUUUAUUGUUAAAUAUUAGUAUGAGAAAUUAAAGGUUUAACUUUUCACCUGAUGUUAGGAGAAUGAAAUCCACACAAACUUGCUGCUUCCUCCAAAGCAUUCCUCCAACUCUGCAGCUUCUCAGUAUUCUCCUUUAAUCUUUCUUCAAGCUUCGAAAAUGAAUCUCCAAAACUCCCAGUUUGGUUUCUCACGUCUGAUGGAUCAACCCGAUAGAAAACCGGAAUCACAAUCUGUGCAUACUCCUUCUUGCAGUCGAGGAUCUUUACAAGUUCAUCGAGACACCAUCUGGAAGAUGCAUACCCUUCUGAGAAGACGAUAACUGAAAUGGCUGAUGCUUCAAUUGCAUUCACAAGUGACUCUGAAAUUUCAUCUCCUCUGUUAAGUUGGUCAUCAAUGAAAGUUUGGAUAUUUUGUCGACACAGAGCAGAAUAGAGAUGGCUAGUAAAGUUGUCGCGGGUGUCCUCUCCUCCGAAACUAACAAAAACAUCAUACUUCUUGUUGUUUCGAGAAGAAGAAGCCAUAAUCAACAGAAACAGUUGAAUUGAUUAGAGAGAGAUUUUGAUUCGGAUGAAAACAAUUAUUGAACCAAAUGUGAGCGACUCUGUAGAAUAAAUCGAUGCCAUGAACCUUCCUUCAAGUUCCUUGAUAAUUUUUCAAUUUCGUCUCAUUGUCCAAGUACCGUGCACUCCACGAUGAUUGAUUAAUUCCACUGCUUUGUAGACCUCUAGCUGAAAAUUCCACAUGAACACCAGACUUUUCAACACACGGCUUCUGUGCUUUCAUACUCAUAACUAUCAGCAACGAGGGGCUGAUAUUUUAGUUUUUAUCCUCAAUUUAUCUAAAUUGGCAAGACGCAUUUUAGGGUGUAUAGGCACUCUAAAAACAAAAUCGUGCAGACCUUGUUAAGGCCCAAAGCUACACAAUGUAGGAGAGAAGGCCAAUAAUUUUAAUUUUACAAUACACAUCAUGUGCCUCUCAUACGUUAUACUCUUCAUCUAACAAGGUAAAGUUCAAUACCCCUCGAAAGUUAUUACAUGAAUAUUUUGCUCCAAGUACUGAUUUGGACAUUUUCUCCUAUUAUUAAAAGUGAUUAGAAAAAGGAAAGAAAUAAAAAUACAUUCAUGAAAAUCUCAGUCUUCUUCGUUAUUGUUGAAACAUGUGCUUGGAUCUUCUAUUGAAUUCGUAGAAUCUGGGAAGCAAAAAAAUUGGAUCCCACAUUUUUUCACCCCGCAGCACUCACACUUCAAAGGCGGAAAAACAUUAAAGUGGACUGCCUCAGGAAUGCAUUCGCAUUUCCAAAAACCAUUAAAAUCCUCUUCACAGAACAGAUAGUAGCCCAAAUGUAAGUGAUCUGAUUCUAUAUAAUUAACUCUGCUCUGAAAUAACUGUGUGUCAUGCGAACCACAAUCUUUAGUAGUUUUCACUUUGAGCUCAAAAGAAAAUGAAAACCAUCUUCCACAAUCUACAUGACGGUUUGAAAAUGCUAAAAUAGCACUAAAUGCAAAGCCAUGCACUCUGCUACUAUUGAAGAAAUCUGGUGGCAUCUCCAAGGUUAUAAAAGAUCCCACACUUUGAAACUUAAACCACUUUGGAAUUUCAUUCCCAGGUAGUACUAUAUGAGCUUUGCCCAUGGAAAAACCUCUCUGUACCAAAAAAACAUAAUUUUAAACCCAAAAAAACAAUUGUAGAAAUUUUAAACAAAGAGAGUUAAAGACACACAUUUUCCUGUAUUUGUUGCCAACGGACAGCUAGCUUAUGGUCCAUAUGCGGAAUUCUCUCGGGAUCCACAACAAUUCCUGCAGUAUAAUUGCCUUCCAAUUUAAAAUUAUUGCUCCGGUAAAAAAAAAUUGCCUAUAAGAUUCAUUACUUAGAGAACAAACCUAAAAAUGGUUGCAGUACCAGGCGACGUCGUUCAAGGAAUGGAAGCUUUGGUGAGGAUGGAAACCUUUCACUAUAACUUAAGAAGAGGUAUCGCAACACGAAAAGUUGGGUAAUUCUUUUUGGUAUUCUCUCAAUAUUGGUUUUCGCUAGAUUCAAUAAUAUUGGCGAGGAAAAUUGGCCAAGACAUUCGGGAAAUCUUUGAAGAUUUGAGCAACCACAGAGAGUAAGAACUCCAAGAGAUUUCAACUUACAUAAGCUGCUUGGGAGACUCGUAAGCCUUUUACAAUAUGAAAGGUCCAAGUACUUGAGCCUAAGUAGACGCUCAAUUGAUGAGGGCAGUUCUUCAAUUGCAGUCCCCCUUAAAAAAAACCAGCUUAUAUUACCUGAUGAGAUCUCUGGAAGCCCUUUCAGUUUUGAGCAGCCCGAAAGAUCAAGUUUGGUAAGAAAUUCGAAGUUAAAUAUUCCAGAUGGAAGACUUUUCAGGUUUUUGCUACCUCUUAGAUUCAAGAUAACUAGCUUGUUCAGACGUGGCAUCAACGUGGGAUUUGGAGUUUUGGCAAUUAGCUUAUUGCAGGCAGCAGGGAUUAUCUGGUUUAACUUGCUAUAAUGCUGGUCGGUCAAAAAAGAGGCCAAGACAAAAUCGUUACCACGUAUAAUAAUUUAAUGUUGUUAUUGAAAGAUUGCACAUACAUAAUAAGAUAUGCAUACCUUCACACAAUCCCAAAGUCGUUUAAUGUCACUAUCAGGCACUUCAAGUAACACAAGUUUCUCUGCACUAAGGUUUGAAGGUAAUGACUUCAACGGAUAUCCAUACCAGUGUAGAUAUUUCACUUCACCAAAUCCCGGAUCUUGCAAAUAAGAUAUCUUACAUUUGUUCUCUCCAUUGAAUGACGAACUAUAGAACUUUAAAAAUCUCAAUUUAGGCAUUUUUGUGAAAGUAUUAGGAUUUAGACGGAUCUCUUUUACUUUUGACAUAUCCAAACAGAUGCCCUCAAUUUUUUCUGUCCCCUAAAAAUAAAUAAAAAAAAUAAAGUUAAAAUCAAAUGAAAGAUGAUAUGUAUAUUCCACUAAUGAAUUGCACUUCAACCCCACCAAGAAAAACAAUUUGGGGCAAUUUUGUCACUAAUUUACAAUUAGAGGUAACUUAGUUAUUAAUUCAAUUUUUAUUUAUUCUUGCAUGGAGUUUAUGUGGGAUUGGAGCGGGGCUCUCUGUCAUUACUCGAAUCAAAUUUCAAUAAUUCAUGUUUAUAGUUAUUGCUACGCAGUUAAGAAACAUAAUAACACAAGUAAUAAUUAACAUAAAAAUUCUGCAUGUGUAAUAAUUUUACAUAUCAAUUAUGCUUGCAAACGGUUAUGCAAAUUGUCGUCGCAUUUAUAAUUUAUUGCUACGUCAUCUAACCACUAUUGUUUUUUCUAAUCAUUGCCACUCUUCCAUUAAUUCUAAGACUCACGAGUGCGAGCGUAUGUAAAUAUAUUCACAUGAAGUUUUUAAACACUACAUUGUUCCAAAAUAAUAAUACACAACAAACUACUUACCGUAUUAUACGUAAGAACUUCAUAGAUAUCUUCAUGAUGCCAGAGCCUACUGCGGUUUUCAGGAUUAGUUGAUUCUUGUCGAACAAUUUCCCGACCCAAUUCUUGUAGUAAAUCAUGCACUGUUAUCUUGUUGUAUGAAUCAAUAGCAAUGAGAGAUUUAUCAACAAGAACACUCAUUCCUAUUUCUGGGUAGAAGCCACUUGCAUUAAAAAAUUUCAUUAUUAUAUCUACAUCCUCACCUUGAAAGAAACAAGCAACAUCAAGGAAAAUAUUUUUCUCCUUAUCGUCCAAACUAUCAUAACUUAUUUUUAAUACCUCAAGAAUACUUGGAUGGAGGAUUCUUUGCAAUUUAUCUAUUGCACUUUCCCAGACUUCUUUUUCCCUUUUAUGCAGAAAGCAACCCAAAACUUUAAGAGCUAAAGGAACACCUUGAGCAUAUUUCAUUACUUUGCUUGAAAGUUUCUCAUAACCAACAUCAGGAUGGUUUUGUUUGAAGGCAUGUCGACUAAAAAGCUCAAGAGCGUGAUGAUAUUCUAAUGCCUGCAUCUCAUAAAUUUUCCUCACCCCCCAAUUUCGAAGCACUUGUUUAUUUCUGGUGGUUAUUAUGAUUCGACUCACAGGCGUCAACCAAUCAAGACUUCCAAUUAAAGAUUCUAAUUGGCUGAAGCAAGUCACAUCAUCAAAAACAAUCAAAACCUUCAUGCGGCUGAGCCUUCUAAAAUUGAGGUCAAUAUAAGGCAUCACAUUUUUAUCCUUCAAUAAAUUUGAAAGAAGUUUUUGUCGUAAGCAAGCUAAUCCUCCUGGUCUUUGUGACUCAUCUCUAACAUUUUCGAGGAAGCAAGAACCUUCAAAAUCACCCGAGAUUUUGUCGAAAAUAGCUCUAGCAAUUGCUGUUUUGCCUAAACCACCAAUGCCCCAAAUCCCUAAAGCAUAAACAUCUUUCGACUCAACACCUAAUAGGGAUUCAAUUUUCUCAACUGCUGAUUCUAGUCCAACCAGCUGGUUAUUGUUAUCACCCCGCCGAAACACUUCAUCCAAUCUCUUCAAAAUGUGAUUAACAACUUCAUUUAUAAGUUCCGACUCACGCCUAGCAAAUACAUAAAAUUAGCCGCGGUAACUUCAAAUUAAUUAAUAGGAGGAAUUUGUAUUAAUUAAGGUAGAUUGUUAGUUUUCCUAUUGAAAUUAAUAUAUUCCACUAUAAGUCUACAAUCUUACAAUUAAUUGAUUAACUCUUAAGUUACAGGAAUAUGUGUGAUUUUUUUUUUAAUGGUGGUAUCUGAGUGAGAGGUUGAAAUUGCUUGAAAAACUACAAAGCACCACUAAUUUUGCUAUAUAAAAAUUGUAAAAUUCUCGCGCUUUUAUUAUUAAUUCUGUCAAAAUUAUUUUACAUGAGCACAAAAGUGGGGAAGUCAGGAAGUUUAGAAUUUGAUGCUUAAAAUUUUUAAAAUUGUAGUUUAGCAUCCGGAAAUUUAACUAAGAGCGCUGCGUGAAUUUUAUUUAUUGUUAAAUAUUAGUAUGAGAAAUUAAAGGUUUAACUUUUCACCUGAUGUUAGGAGAAUGAAAUCCACACAAACUUGCUGCUUCCUCCAAAGCAUUCCUCCAACUCUGCAGCUUCUCAGUAUUCUCCUUUAAUCUUUCUUCAAGCUUCGAAAAUGAAUCUCCAAAACUCCCAGUUUGGUUUCUCACGUCUGAUGGAUCAACCCGAUAGAAAACCGGAAUCACAAUCUGUGCAUACUCCUUCUUGCAGUCGAGGAUCUUUACAAGUUCAUCGAGACACCAUCUGGAAGAUGCAUACCCUUCUGAGAAGACGAUAACUGAAAUGGCUGAUGCUUCAAUUGCAUUCACAAGUGACUCUGAAAUUUCAUCUCCUCUGUUAAGUUGGUCAUCAAUGAAAGUUUGGAUAUUUUGUCGACUCAGAGAAGAAUAGAGAUGGCUAGUAAAGUUGUCGCGGGUGUCCUCUCCUCUGAAACUAACAAAAACAUCAUACUUCUUGUUGUUUCGAUAAGAAGAAGCCAUAAUCAACAGAAACAGUUGAAUUGAUUAGAGAGAGAUUUCGAUUCGAAUGAAAACAAUUAUUCAAUUUCAUGAACCUUCCUUCAAGUUCCGUGAUAAUUUUUCAAUUUCAUCUCAUUGUCCAACCACCGUGCACUCCACGAUGAUUGAUUAAUUCAACUGCCUUGUAGACUUUUAGCUGAAAAUUCCACACGAACACCAUACUUUUCAACACACGUGCUUCUGUGCUUUAAUGCUCAUAACUGCCAGCAAUAAGUAGGGUGAUAUUUUAAUUUUUAUCUCUGAAUUUAUCUUAUCCGUCCUCAUCUCUCAAUUAAUUGUAUUUAGUUUCCAAAUUAUUCUUUUUUUUUGUUUUAAUAGCUCUUAUUCAUGUUCCUUAGCGUUUAAAGUCUAAAAAAAAUUAGUUAUUUAUUUUUUAUAACUUAUAUAUGAUUUUUAAAUAUUUAUAUUUAAAUUAAAAAGUAAUUUUUUUUUGUGACCUUUGCCUAAAUGAGAAAAUGUUUCAAUGAAAAAUAAAUACUAUAUUCUAAGAAUAUUUCUAUUCAAUAUUGUUAUUUCCUAAACUAUAUUGUCAUAUGUGGCUAAUUGUCAAAGCAAUAGCAAGCUGUUAGCUUAAAGCAAAGCAUAUUCAUGCUUCACCCAUGAGAAUACAACCAAUUCUAAUGCAUGUAUUGUGACGCACGUGCAAACUAAAAGGAGGCACAUGGGUUAAUUGUCAAAGCAAUAGCAAGCUGUUAGCUUAAAGCAAAGCACGUGCGUGCUUCAUCAAUAGGAUCUGUGAGUGGAUUAUUAUUAUUAUUAUUACUAUUAUAUAUUUCACAAAACAUUUAUGUUUGAUAGUAUGAUUUAGUAUAAUGUUAUGAUUAUAUGUACGUACAUUAUAUGAUUGACUGAGUCAUGAGAUGUAAUUGACAGGCACCAUAUGUGUACAUUUCCUCAUAGGCUCUACGCAUACGUAUUGAGAGUUAAAUUACUCGACCCUUGUGAUAUUGUAAAUUCUACUGAGUAUUGAGAGGUUUUUCUCCCUUUUUUACUCGUGUGAUGAUGAUCCCAGUGAGUAUUGAGAGUUAUUUUCCCUGUAUAUUAUUUGGUGCAAUUUUGUCAUGUGUGUAUAUACGAGUUCAUGUUUGCUUUUGUAAAGCGUUCAGUGUAAAGUUAUGUCAUACAAUUAUGACGAGCACUAAAGCACUAAUUUAUUUUUAUAUAUAAUUAUAUUCAUUCAUUGAGCCGCAAGCUUACUAUUUUCCUAUUUACCCCAUUUCUCUAAGGUUUCCAUAGGAUUUCGUGUAUUUCAAUUUCUGAUCAAUUGAGGUUGGGCCACGACACGCAUUACUGCACGAAUUACAUUUUGACCACGUUUAUAUUUAUAUGUAUAUUUUUGAAGUGUAUGUAUGUUCAGUGAGAUAUGAACUAUGUAAGUUUUUAAUAAAUUUUUGAAUGAGGCACAUAGAUUAUUAUAUGUUUAUAACAAAGGCCAAGGCUAGUGUUAUAUAUUCAUGAAUUAAGUUUAUGUCAUGAGCUUUAGAUAUAAAAUUGCAUGAUUCACCCCAGAUCCAACAGAAGGGUUGAGGUGAUUUGUGUCAUGUAUGAUAUGUACAUAUUUAUAUUCAAUAUAACCACCAUUUGAAUGAUAGUUUUUUAAAAUCAGUGCACAUGUGUCGUAUCAUAACUCACUUGUUGUAUGGCUAACAUGGUACUUCUGAUAUAAUCUAAAAUUUCUUCCUUAGUUAGAGGCAUUUGUUUUAAAAUUUUAUUUAAAAGAAGGUCAUUUUAAAUUUCAAAAUGUAAAGUGUAUUUUCUACAACACUAAAGGAUGAAACAUCCUUCAAUAUAGAUUUCUUAAUAAAUUUUAAGAGAACUAACAGAAAGUGGUUAUUUCAUUCAUGGUUAUUAAAUCAAAAUUUGAAUUAGAUCAUCACUGGUCCAAAAUAAACUAUCGUCAUUUCAAAUUGAAGCAUGAAACCGUGAAUGGAUGCAUCCUUAAAUAAAAGGAUACAUUUUUAUUAUAUAUGACACUGUUUAAUUAGAUAUAUCUUUACAGUCAGGACACAUUUUUAGAGCACCAUUUAUAUUGAAAAUAUUCCAGCAUAAAAUAUGUCUCUCUCCUUAUACGAGUAUUUUGCAAAUAAUUUGCAAAUAAUACAGAGCCACCACGAGUUCAAAAAUAAUAAAACAAUAACAUUGCUCACUUGCUGGACUGGGCUGGACUGGGCUGAUUGGGCUGGGCCUGCUUUCAUCAUCGCAUACACGGUGAGGGAAAUUGAAAUUGAUGAUGGCGUUGGCCGCUCAAUUCCUGCUUCGGAUUCCCCAACUCGGAAGGAAAAAUAUAAACUUUCCGUCGUAUAAGCAUCGCGGGAAUUAUCAGCCAUUGUUGUUGUCUUGCAAUUACAGCACCAAUGACAAUUGUUCUUCAACUUCUUCUUCUUCUUCUUCUUCUUCGAAGAAUUACUUAGAAUUGACGGACGAUGAGAUGUUUCGCGAAUGCUAAAUGGACGCGUACAAAUCGUCGGGACCAGGCGGUCAGCACCGCAAUAAGCGCGAAUCUGCCGUACGUCUCAAGCACGUACCGACCGGCGUCAUAGCACAUGCCGCCGAACACCGAUCGCAGCACAAGAAUCGCGCGUCAGCUUUGUCGCGCCUCCGCACUCUUUUGGCCCUCAAAGUGAGGAGCAGUGUGAAUCUUGAUGCGUAUUCGCCGCCGCCACAGCUUCUUCAAAUCCUUCCUCCUAAGUCUACUAUUAGAAGUUCAGAAGUUGGUCCACAAAUUGGACCUAACAAUCCUAAAUUUGCUUUGGUAUUACUCUAUUCACUCUUGCUUUGUUUUUUUGUUUUCUGUUAAAAUUUAAGUCAUCGUAAUGUUUUUUUUUUUGGUUAACUUCAGGGAAUGCAAGCUCUGCUUGAUCUAAUUUUCGUAGGUUAAGCACUGGAGCAUUGUCACGGUUGAUUCUAUUGGAUGAUUCUCUUCGAAUGGCCGUGAAUGAGUUCAGGACUUCUAAGGUAUGCUAAUUCAUAGCUGAUAGUGUGUAUUACGAUAAGAUUCAACCUGUUGGUUAAUUUAAAAUUGUUAUAUUCUUUCUUAUUUGUGCAACAAAUAUAAUAAGUCUGUUUUUUGUGGUUGAGUGUCUGCGUCAGUGCCUGAUGGCAUUUUUUGUGGUUUAAGUAGCUUUAUAGCAUAUUUGGCUCUCUGUUUAUGAAUAAUGUUCAAUAGCAACCUGCCCCAUUGAUACGAGAAAUGUAUGAUAUAAUUUUUCAAGAUACCUACCUGCAUUAUGAAUUGUUAUUGGAAGGAAGUACGAGAAUAAAUUAAGAGCAAAGACUGAUUAAAAGAUGUAUCUUUCAUUAUUAAGCGAAGUGUAUGUUCUGCUUCUCAUUCACUUUACCAGAAUUACAAAAGUUUUAUGUUAUUGAUGGUUGGAUAGUUUCUGGGUUAUCCUUGUUUUUUUUUUUUGUGUUAAUUGCUUUACAUACAUUAUGUGUGUAAUUUUUUAAUGGACAAUCUUCAUUUGAAACAUGAAAAUUUUAAAAAACUUUCCGAUUUGUGCAGGGUAUGAAGCCUCUUAAGUAGGACUUCUUAGGUGCUACUAUUGUGUUCGGCAAAUAUUUUCUUCUUUUAUUUUUCUUUUUUCAGUCACCAUAAUGGGAGUCAUGGUGAAACAACUUACUAAUCACUCUGGACAGGAAUGGGCUUCUGUAAGUGAAGCACACUUAUUUCACUCUUUCCUUAGUAUGGAGCUGCUUACCGUUGGGAUGAAGAUGGUAAUAGCUGCUUUAGAAAUUAGUUUUCUUCAGUAGGAAAAUUCUAAAUCUUGGAAAAUUUAAAGUUGUACUAGAAAACAAGCUGCCUAUUCAACCAAUGGCUAAAUGUAGCAUAGUAGUCUCCUUAGACGAUUAAUUAGAUUGCAUUCCUUUUGAUCUCUCUCUUUUCAUUUUUUCUCCUUUUUGACUUGCACCUCUCUGUUCCUUUCCCCAAAAAAAAAUUUGCACUUCUCUGCUGAUGUCUUCCCAAUAUCCUAUGAUGCACAAAUGCACAAAUACUCUUGAAAUGUGGUGAAAUGUUUAUGGUAUUACUUGUCGUAGCAGAAGCAUCCUCCUAAAAUUAUUUAUAAGAAACUCUUUUUACUCUCUAUGCCAGUGGAGUGGGCCUUCAAAAGGAAAGGAAAAGUAGUACCUAAAGUUGUGAAAAGGAAGAAUUUGCAAGUCAAAAAUGAAUAUAUUAUGCAUGGCUACAUAAAUUGGUACAUAUAGCUUUUGCACCUAAUCUGAUUAUCUCGAUUCCUGGACCCAGAACUAAUAGCCUAAUUAUUACACAAGAUAUUUUGCUGCUGUCAUACUACUUGCAUAUAUGAAUGCUGAUUUUUAAACGGAAAUAUUUAACAGAGCACUGACAGAAACAGAGGUAACACCCGAGCCGGGUUACCGUGGUAAUUGAAAACAAUCAAUUAACACGAUAAAUCUGGUGGGUUUGUAGUUAAUUCUGCCAGCGCUCUGUUAGCUCCAGUAUUUGACUUAUUGACCUAUCUGUGGUUGAAAGAAAAAUGAUUUAAGUAAACUUUCGAAAAUGUUUUAUCCUUGUUUUAUUUCUGAAUAUCAGCAGUGCAUCAUUUUGAAAAUGUGACUAUGGGGUUUCAGGAUCCUCUCGAGCCAGUUUUGUUGUUCACAAAACCCCUUGUGCCAGAAAAAUUGGAUGCUGCAGGUAUUGUUCCGCCAUCAGAUUCUUCUACGAGGAAUGGCACUAUAGCAAGAACUCACAAAUUUCAUGGAAGAAUUGGUCGAGGGGGGCGGAUAGUAUUUGAUAGAUGUAAUCCUCUUAUGCACUCCUCAACUGAUAGUGCCACGUCUUUUUACUUGCCACCAAAACCCCGCACAUCUAUGUACAGUUAAAUUGUCCGAGCUCGAGCAUUAUUCGUUAGGGAGCCAAGUGUAAUUAUGCUCCGGCUGAUAUUUAUGUAGUUAAAUUGAAUACUUCCAUUGUCCGAGCUCCAGCAAUUAUUUGUUUGGGAAGCCAAGUGUAGUUAUGCCGAGGGCAAGCAAAAUACUGGGCUUGAUGAAUCUUUUGAGGCUUGGUCACAGGUAUUUCAUGCCGUGCAUCAUCUUGCCUUAUUCUUUUUAAAGAAAUGACCUUGCCCUAAUUUUCCUUUCAAGUUUAAACUUAAUGAGCUUUUAUUACAUCCUUUAUUGUUGAAAUGCUUGUGCUAAUCAUAGUAUUUUCAAAAUUUCCGCGCCCCAGUUGAUUAUAAAUUUUGUGUGAAUAUUACAAGAUAAAACUUACCUUUAAAAUGUUAACGAACCUGUAAGAUUGGACUUCUCUUUAAGACCUUGAAUUAAGUGGAGGGUGUUUUGGGGUUAAUAAACCAGCAACUAUGCAUAUACUUGGCCAAUGAGGAAUCCUACUAGUACAGAAUAAGGUUGCACAAGACAGUUGAAUAGAUGACGCAAUGGAGACGUCUCUGUAUCGACUCAAUUCAAACUAAUUGUACAACUUCAUUUCUGAAGGAGUCACCAUUUUUAAUCCCAUUUGGAGAAUGUGUACAUCAGGUGCUAAUGCUUAUAAUGAAAAUGAUGCACUAUGUUUUGUGUUUUUCGAAUUUAAAAAUGUGUCUAAUAGUGUAUUUUCAGAAUUGGACUAUAAAAAUAAAAAUAGAGAAAACGAUAUAAAAUUAAGGUAAUACUGGACGAAAAAGUAUGGCCAAGGAAGCAGUAAUAUUUGGUGCAUUUCAUUUUUUCAAUAAAAAAAUGAAAACAAAAUUUUCAAUAUCUAUUCAUCAUUUUUUGGAAAAAAAAAAAAAAGCUUAAAGAAUAAAUGAAAGGGUGUUUUAAAACAAAAAUGUGAUUGGUGUUUGAAAAAUGACUGUCUCGGUUAGGUAAAACAGUCACAUAAUCAUUUUUUUUUAAAACACAAACCUUUUGGUUCAUAAAUAAUCACACAAAUUCUAAUGUUUUAUCUAAAAGAGAGUCUGUGUAUCUCAAAAGAGACAUGUGUGACAUUUUCUAAAAACAAAAUAUCUUUAUAGUUAUUUUGCCAAAUCACGUGUUGCCUUUAGAAAUAGAAUAGAUUUUAAUUUGCCCAAUUUACAAUAAAAAUCUUUAAUUUAUCACCUAAAAGUAAUUUACCCUAUUUAUUAUUAAGAAGAUUAAAAAAAAGAAAAUUCAUCAAUACAUUCCUUAUUUGCCCCUCGUCUUUUGGACGAAAAUGAAGAAUAAAUUGAGGUUUACAUUGAGAGCAAAUUAGAGAUUAUCAUUUUAUUUGGGAAUGAAUUGAAGUUUAUCCUUAGGAAUAAAAAUUCAAGAGAAGUACACGAAAAAGGUAAUAAUUUUCACUUUUUAUGGAGUAUUUGGAUAAGGGUAUUUUGCACCCCACUAUUUUUAUAAAUCCACCCUAUUUCUAGAAACUAAUUGCAAUGAAUUCACAAUAUUUUUUAAAAAAUACAAAUUAAUAAAAAUUUUGUAUAGUUAAUAAGUUAAAUCCUUCUAUUGAUUUUCUUCAUGAGUUCUUUGACCAUAUUUAAUCAUAAAGUUUAAUACAAAAUUUAUUUUAGUAUUUUAUUAUUAUGAUAUAUAGCGACUAAAUUACCAUAAUAAACAUGAGUUAUUGUAUCUAAUAAUUUAUGUAUCUAAUUUUGUGGCUUAUAAUAUAAUAUUUUUAAAUAAAAUCUAAUUGUGAUUUUCUCUACUUUAAUGUGUAAAUAACAUAAAAUUGACAUCCCAAUAAUUUACAUGAGUAUCAUGCCCUAAAGAUACUACUUUAGUUUAAUUAAAGAUUAAAACUUACACUAGUAAAGUAGUAUUAGAAACAAUGAGUUUGGUAUAAAAUUAGAAAAAUAUUUAAAUUAAAGUAAAUUCUUAAUAGUUUUACCUUAUAAGGGUAAAAUAAUCAAUUUAAACUUAUGACAAAGCAAUCUUUGUAGCUAAAUAUAAUAAAAUAAUCUAAAUCAUAAGAAAGUAAACUAAAAUAAAUCUAGUUAAUUAACUCUACAAAGUUCUUCUUUGUUUGAAAAUUUUAAAACAUAACAUGUAUGUUUUAUAAUUAUUUUUUAAAAAACGGGAUGAGUUUGCAAAAAUUAUUAGACGGAAAUACCAUCACCCGGAGUAUUUUAGUAAAGCACCUGAUAUUCGUUUCAGACGAAGUAUUAUUAUUUUGAUUUUUCAGGAAUAUCAGUAAAAUUUUCAUAUAAUAGUGGAAUAAGCCCAAUAAAUAAUUGUAUAAAAAUUUUUUGUCAUAGCCAUAGUCUCAUUGAGGUGGAAGCAGGGGAGGAGUAGGCCAAGCCAGGCCACAGAAAAUAUUCAAUUGAAAAAGCAAGAAAGGAAUGAGCGUGUGGAUGGUAAGGGCUCGGGCUCCCUCUUUCAUUAUUCCAAUAACAACACUCAGGAUUGGAAAUGGAAAUGGAGAUGUAAAAGGCCGGCGCUUGCCCCUAUUGAGCAAUAAGAAUUGGCAGUUUCAGUUGCAGUUGGAGUUGCAGCAGAGGAAUGAGGAGAAGAAGAAGAGACAAAAUGUUACCAUCAGUUAUACUAACAGUAGCAGUGGAGGGGAUUCUGCUUCUGCUGCACUGGAAUUGGAGGUUAAUGAGACAAAAUGUUACCAUCAGUUGUUCAGAAGCCAACUGUGCUUAUAGGUAAUUCUGUUGGAAGCCUAGCUUGUGUUAUCGCUGCCUCAGGUAUAUUUAUUUUAACUUCCCCUUGGACAUCAGAUAUUUUUCAACUUGCUUGCAAAGAAACACUUGUCGCUAAUUAUCCUUUUUGGUAUCUAUGGUUUACGAUAAACCUGCUAUAUUUUCUACCAUAAGAAUCCAGUCAAACCCUUGUUCGAGGGCUUGUUCUGUUGAAUUGUGCUGGUGGCAUGAACAACAAGGCAAUUGUUGAUGAUUGGAGAAUCAAGCUAUUGUUACCAUUGCUUUGGUUCAUUGAUUUUUUGUUGAAGCAAAGGCCAAUUGCUUCUGCUAUAUUUGAGCGUGUGAAACAAAGGUAUUUUCUCUUCUCUCUAUUCAGUCCAUUGUUCAUUAUCCCAAGACACUAGAGUCAAAAUUAAAAAAAAAAAAAACUCUAUGAUGUGCAUAUCUUGGUGCUGUAGGGAAACACUGAGGAAUAUUUUACUGUCCAUUUAUGCAAAUAAGGAAUCUGUGGAUGAAACACUGGUUGAGGUAUUAAUAUUCUCCUCUUAUAUGCCAUUUUAACCUGUUACAAAAAUGGCUACUCAGAAUUCAUGAAUAAACCUCAAAACUGCAGAUCAUACGAGAGCCUGCCAAUGAGGAAGGGGCACUUGAUGCAUUUGUUUCGAUUGUAACAGGCCCACCAGGGCCGAACCCAGUUCAAUUGAUGCCAUCCAUCUCUGUACCUGUACUAGUUUUAUGGGGUGAUGAGGAUCCAUUCACACCCCUCGAUGGACCUGUUGGUAAAUACUUCUCAUCUCUGCCUUCUAAACCCUCAAAUGUGAAGUUAAUUGUAUUGGAAGGAGUAGGACAUUGCCCCGAUGACGACAGGCCUGAGUUGGUCCAUGAAAAGAUGCUUCCUUGGUUGGCUGAAACAUUUAAUUUCUGAGGAAUUACUUUCUCAUCAGCAAGUUUUAAUGAGCAUUAUAUAUUAUUCCUAUUGUAAAAAGACAAAACAACUCUUGUAUUUAUGUUGUACAUAUCAAUUCUUAUUCAACCGCUUGGUUAUCUUUUGGCGCCGAAAGGAAUGUUGGAGAAACUGAUCUCUGACAAGUUGUAGAAGCUCCAAAUUGAUUCAAGAAAUGUAUCAAAUUAUUCAAUAAAAAAUAAAAUUCAGCACAAUAAUAAAGAAUAAUGAUUUAGUAAUCCAUAUUGCUCAUGUCAAUGAUAUGAGAAUGAUAAGAUCCAAUUUUAUACAUGAAAAAGAUACAAUAAUCUAAAUCGAAAUAUAAGUUCACAGGCAUCCUCAAUCCUUUCCUUACAAGUCAUUUUUGUAAAUAUAAAUGCUAACCAUAGACGAUACCACAUCAACUAUGCAAUCAAAUGCACCAUUCCAAAUAUGGAAUUGGUAGAGAUACUUGAAAAAGUGCAUACAUGUUUAAGCAAAUGGAUUCACAACUCAGGUGAGUUGAGUGAAAAUGACACCUAUCUCAGUCUUCUUCGUUACAGUUGAACCAUGUGCUUGGGUCUUCCAUUGACGUAGGAUCUGGGGUGUGAAGUAAAUGGAUCCCACAUUUUUUCACCCCGCAGCACUGGCACUCCAAAGGUGGAAAAACAUUAAAGUGGACAGCCUCAGGAAUGCAAUUGCAUUUCCAAAAACCAUUAAAAUCAUCUUCGCAGAACAGAUAGUACCCCAAAUGUAAGUGAUCUGAUUCUACAUAAUUAACUCUGCUCUGAGAUAAUCGUGUGUCAUGCGUACCACAAUCUUUGGUGGUUUUCACUUUGAGCUCAAAAGAAAAUGAAAACCAUCUGCCACAAUCUACAUGACGGUCUGAAAAUGCUAAAAUAGCACUAAAUGCAAUGCCCUGCACUCUGCUAUUAUUGAAGAAAUCUGCCGGCAUCUCCAAGGUUAUAAAAGAUCCCACACUUUGAAACUCAAACCACUUUGGAAUUUCAUUCCCAGGUAGUACUAUAUGACCUUUGCCCAUGUAAAAACUUCUCUGUACCAAAAAAACAUAAUUUUAAACGCAAAAAAAAAAAAGAUUGUAGAAAUUGUAAGUAGAGAGAGAGUUAAAGACACACAUUUAGCCAUACUUCUUGCCAACGUACAGCUAGCGUAUGGUUCGUAUGCUGAAUUCUCAGGGUAUCUUCAACAAUUCCUGCAGUAGAAUUACCUUCCAAUUUAAAAUUAUUGCUCCGGUCAAAAAAAAUUGCCUGUAAGAUUCAUAACUUAGAGAACAAACCUAUAAAUGGUUGCAGUGACAAGCAACCUCGUUCAAGGAAUGGAGGCUUUUGUACGAAUUUGAACCUCUCACCAUAACUUAAGAGGAGGUAUCCCGACACGAAAAGCUGGAUAAUGCUUUCUGGUAUUCACUCAAUAUUGGUUUUCGCUAGAUUCAAUGUUAUUGGCGAGGAUAAUUGGCCAAGACAUUCGGGCAAUCUCUGAAGAUUUGAGCAACCAUGGAUAUCAAGAGCUCCAAGAGAUUUCAAUCUAUAGAGGCUGCUUGGGAGACUCUUAAGCCUUUUACAAUCUGAAAGGUCCAGCCACGAAAGCCUAAGUAGACGCUCAAUCGAUGCGGGCAGUUCUUCAAUUGCAAUCCUCCUUAAAAAUAACCAGCUUAUAUUACCUGGUGAGAUCUCUGGAAGCCUUUUCAGUUUUGAGCAGCCCGAUAGAUCAAGUUUGGUAAGAAAUUCCAAGUUAAAUAUUCCAGAUGGAAGACUUUUCAGGCUUUUGCUACCUCUUAGAUUCAACGUAACUAGCUUGUUCAGACGUGGCAUCAACGUGGGAUUUGGAAUUUUGGAAAUUAGCUUAUGGCAGGCAGCAUGGAUUAUCUGGUUUAACUUACUAUAAUGCUGCUCGGUCAAAAAAGAGGCCAAGACAAAAUCGUUACCACGUAUAAUAAUUUAAGGUUGUUAUUGAAAGAUUGCACAUAUAUAAUAAGAUAUGCAUACCUUCACACAAUCCCAAAGUCGUUCAAUGUCACUAUCAGGCACUUCAAGUAACACAAGUUUCCCUGCACCAAGGUUUGAAGGCAAUGACUUCAACGGAUAUCCAUACCAGUGAAGAUAUUUCACUUCAGCAAAUCCGGAAUCUUGCAAAUAAGAUAUCUUACCUUUGUUCUCUCCAUUGACUGAAGAACUAUAGAACUUUAAAAAUCUCAAUUUAGGCAUCUGUGUGAAAGUAUUGGGAUUUAGACGGAGCUCUUUUACUUUUGACAUAUCCAAACAUAUGCCCUCAAUUUUUUCUGUCCCCUAAAAAUAAGUGAAAAAGCAAUAAAGUUAAAAUCAAAUGAAAGAUAUGUGUAUUCCACCAAUGAAUCGCACUUCAACCCCACCAAGUCAAAUUUUUGGGGCAAGUUUCUCACUAAUUCACAAUUAGAGGUAGCUUAGUUAAUAAUUCAACUUUUUAUUUAUUAUUUAGUCGAGUUUAUGUGGGAUUGGAGUGGACUCUUCGUCAUUUCUCAAAUCAAUAAUUCAUGUUUUUAGUUAUUGCUAGGCAGUUAAACUUUUAAUUGCAAAUGCACAAAGAAACAUAAUAACACAAGUAAUACUUAAUAUAAAAAUUCCGUCUGUGUACUAUACAAAUUGGCAUAUCAAUUAUGCUUGCAAACGAUUAUGCAAGUUGUCAUGGCAUUUAUAAUUUAUUGCUACGUCAUCUAACGGAUAUGGUUUUUUCUAAUCAUUGUUGCUCUUCUAUUAAUUCUAAGACUCAUCAGUUCGAGCAUAUAUAAAUAUAUUCAUAUCAAGUUUGUAAAUGCUAGAAUAUUUCAAAAUAAUUAUCCACAACAAACUGCUUACCAUGUUAUAUGUAAGAACUUCAUAGUAAAUCUUGCAUUCUUAUCUUGUUGUAUGAACCAAUAGCAAUGAGAGAUUUAUCAACAAGAACACUUAUUCCUAUUUCUGGGUAGAAACCGCUUGCAUUAAGGAAUUUCAUUACUAGAUUUACAUCCUCGCCUGGAAAGAAACAAGCAACAUCAAGGAAAAUACUUUUUUCCUCAUCGUCCAAACUAUCGUAACUUAUUUUUAAUACCUCUAGGAUACUUGGAUGGAGGAUUCUUUGCAAUUUAUCUAUUGCACUUUCCCAGACUUCCUUUUCUCUUUCAUAUAGAAAGCAACCCAACACUUUAAGAGCUAAAGGAACACCUUGAGCAUAUUUCAUUACCUUGCUUGAAAAUUUCUCGUAACCAACGUCAGGACGGUUUUGUUUGAAGGCAUGUCGACUGAAAAGCUCAAGGGCGUGAUGAUAUUCUAAUGCCUCCAUCUCAUAUAUUUUCCUCACCCCCCAAUUUCUAAGCACUUGUUUAUUUCUGGUGGUUAUUAUGAUUCGACUCACAGGCGUCAAACAAUCAAGACUUCCAAUUAUAGAUUCUAAUUGGCUGAAGCAAGUCACAUCAUCAAAAACAAUCAGAACCUUCAUGCGGCUGAGCCUUCUAAAAUUAAGACCAAUAUCAAGACUCACAUUUUUAUCUUUCAAUAAAUUUGAAAGAAGUUUUUGUCGCAAGCAAACUAAUCCUCCCGGUUUUUUUGACUCUUCUCUAACAUUUUCAAGGAAGCAGGAACCUUCAAAAUCGCUAGAGAUUUUGUUAAAAAUAGCUCUAGCGAUUGUUGUUUUGCCUAUACCACCAAUGCCCCAAAUCCCUAAAGCGUAAACAUCUUUCGACUGAACACCUAGUAGAGAUUCAAUUUCCUCAACUCUUGAUUCUACUCCAACCAGCUGGUUUUUGUUAUCAUUCGGCCGAAAAACUUGAUCCAGCAGUCUCUUUAAAAUGUGAUUAAUAGCUUCGUUUAUAAGUUCCGAUUCAGGCCUACCAAAUACAUAAAAUUAGCAGCAGUAACUUCAAAUAGAAGGGAUUUGCAUAAAAUUUGAAAUAAAGGAGAUUGCUAGUUUUCCUAUUGAAAUUAAUAUAUACCACUUAUUUUUUUUUCAUAAGGAUAAUAUUGCAAAGUGAUGGUACCAGGAGAGUUAUUAAAUAUUGUAAAAAUAGUCAGAAUAAGUAGUAUAUAUUGAUUUGAGUAAGAGAAUUUACAAUCUCCCUAUAAAUUAAUAACUCUUUAAUUGCAGGAAUAUGUUACAUGUGGAAGAGAUUUUUUUUUUCCUAAUGGUAUAUGAGUAAGAGAUUGAAAUUGAUUAAAAAACGACAAAACACCAUUAAUUUUGUUAAAAUAUAUUGUAAACUUCUGGAGCUUUUAUUAUUAAUUCUGCAAAAAUUCUUUUAUAGGAGUUCAAAAGUGGGGAAGUUAAAGAAGUCUAGAAUUUGAUGCAUGAAAAAAUUUAAAAGUGUAGUUUAUCAUCUGGAAAAUUUAACUAAGAGUGCUGCGUGAAUUUUAUUUACAGUGUUGAAUAUUAGUACGAGAAAUUAAAGGUAACUUUUCACCUGAUGUUCUGAGAAGGAAAGCCAGACAAACUGGCUGCUUCCUUCAAAGCAUUCCUCCAUGUCUGCAGCUUCUUUGAAUUCUCCUUAAACCUUUCUUCAAGCUUCGAAAAUGAAUUGCCAAAACUCCCAGUUUGGUUUCUCACGUCUGAUGGAUCAACCCGAUAGAAAACCGGAAUCACAAUCUGUGCAUACUCUUUCUUGCACUCGAGGAUCUUUACAAGUUCAUCGAGACACCAUCCAGAAGAUGCAUACCCUUCUGAGAAGACAAUAACUGAAAUGGCUGAUGCUUCAAUUGCAUUCACCAGUGACUCCGAAAUUUCGUCUCCUCUGUUAAGUUGGUCAUCAAUGAAAGUUUGGAUAUUUUGUCGACACAGAGCAGAAUAGAGAUGGCUAGUAAAGUUGUCGCGGGUGUCCUCUCCUCUGAAACUAACAAAAACAUCAUACUUCUUGUUGUUUCGAGAAGAAGAAGCCAUAAUCAACAGAAACAGUUGAAUUGAUGAGAGAGAGAUUUUGAUUCGGAUGAAAACAAUUAUUGAACCAAAUGUGCGUGACUCUGUAGAAUAAAUCGAUGCUAUGAACCUUCCUUCAAGUUCCGUGAUAGUUUUUCAAUUUCAUCUCAUUGUCCACACGAACACCAUACUUUUCAACACACGUGCUUCUGUGCUUUAAUGCUCAUAACUGCCAGCAAUAAGUAGGGUGAUAUUUUAAUUUUUAUCUCUGAAUUUAUCUUAUCCGUCCUCAUCUCUCAAUUAAUUGUAUUUAGUUUCAAAAUUAUUCUUUUUUUUUUUGUUUUAAUAGCUCUUUUUCAUUAUCCUUAGGGUUGAUUGUUAAACAUAUGAAGUCUAACAUUUAAAAAAAUAUUAAUUUUUUUUAAUAACUUAUAUAUAAUUUUUAGACAUUUACAUUUAAAUUAAAUAAGUAAAUUUUUGCGACCUUUUCUGAAAUGAGAAAAUGUUGGAAUGAAAAAUAAAUAAUAUAUACUAAAAAUAUUUCUAUUCAGUAAAUUUAUUUCCUAAACUACGAAGCCUAAUCCCUUUUACUCAUUUUGAACUUUGGAGAACAAAUUAAAAAAUCUAUUUUAAUUUACUUUUUGUGACUUAAAUUUUUUUAUUAUAUUUGAUCAUAAAGAUUGAUUUGACAUAAGUCUAAAUUGAUUAUUUUAUCCUUAUAAGGUAAAACUAAUUCUUUAACUUCAAUAUUUUCUAAUUUUAUAUCAAAUUCAUUAUUUUUAAUACUACUUUAUUAGUAUGAUUGUAAAACAUUAAUUAAAAAAACAUAAUGUCUUUAUGGCACAAUACUCAUGUAAAUUAUUAGCUUGUCAAAUUUACAUCAUUUACACGUAAGAUAGUGAAAAUAAUAGUUAAAUUUCAUUUAAAAAUAUUAGUUCACAUAAUUAAAUACCUAAAUUAUUAGAUACAAUAACCCGUGUUUAUUGUACAAUUUGGCCAUUUUAUAUCAUAAUACUAAAAUAGUAAAGUAAAAUUUAUAUCAAGUUAUGAUCAAAUAUACUCAAAGAAAUCUAAUAAAAAAAAUAAUAGAAGGAUUUAAUUGAUUAACUAUACAAAAUUUUUAUUAAUUUGUAUUUUUUUAAAAAUAUUAUGAAUUCAUUAUAAUUAUGGUAUACAACAUGUGAAUUUAUCAAAGCCUAAGUCAACCCAAACUAAAAUCAAAUUAAAAUGAUUUUAGUUGGGUUGCGUUGGACUGUUGCCCAAACUUUGGGUUGGUUUAGUUUGAAACUUGCGCUUGGAUCUUCGGUUGAAUUUGGGGCUUACAAUAAAUCGACCCCACAUUUUUUCUUCCCGCAUUCCGUAGAAUAAUAUUAUAUGUAAUAAAAUAACACAAAAUUUAUUACACAAGGCACAAAUGACAAAAAAUAAUUUUCAUCUUGUAGUGAACUUUUACUUUUCUUAUUGAUAAUGUACUAUUUUUUUAAUUCUAUUUACUUCUGUGAACAUAUAAUUGUAGGCAUCCACAAAUGUUAAGGAUAAGCAAUUAUUUCAUAUAAGUUAUUUCACAACUCCUGUACUUAUAUCAUCAAUUGCUUGACCUUUAGUUAUUUUCCUUGCUAACUUGAGUGAGACUCACCGAUGCAGCUAAUAUUGGAUUUCUUGGAUGAAGCUGCUCAGAAGCCAAUAGUGACAUGAAAAUACCAGGUAUAUUAAUUUAACUUCUACCUUGUGUUUUUGCUGCCUCAGGUAUAUUAAUUUAACUUCCUCUUGGGCAUCAGAUAUUUGUCAUCAUGCUUGCAAAGAAACACUUGCACCUGAUUAGCCUUUUCGGUUAAUAUGGUUUGCGAAAACCUGCUAUAUUUUCUACCAUAAAAAUCCAGUCAAACACUUGUUCGAGUGCUUGUUUUGUUGAAUUGUGCUGGUGGCAGCAUGAACAACAAGGCAAUUGUCGAUGAUUGGAUAAUCAAGCCACGGUUGCCAUUGCUUUGGUUCAUUGAUUUCUUGUUGAAGCAAAGGCCAAUUGCAGAUGCAAUCUUUGAAGAUGUGAAAAGAAGGUAUUUUCUCCUCUCUAUUCAGUCCAUUUUUUGUUAUCCUAAACCACUAGAAUCAAAAAUUAAAAAAUUCUAUGAUGUGUAUAUAUUGGUGCCGUAGGGAAACACUGAGGAACAUUUUACUGUCCAUCUAUGCAAAUAAGAAGUCUUAUUCAACCGCUUGAAUAUCUUUUGGCGCCGAAAAAAAUGUAGGAGAAACUGAUCCCUGACAAGUUGUAGAAGCUCCAAAUUGAUUCAAGGCAUAUAUCAAAUUAUUCAAUAAAAAGUCAAAUUCAGCACAAUAAUAAAGAACAAUUAUUUAGUAAUCUAAAUUGCUCAUGUUAACGAUAUGUGAAUGAUAGGAUCCAAUUUUAUACAUGGAAAAAAUACAAUAAUCUAAAUCGAAAUAUAAAUUCACAGGCAUCUUCAAUCCUUUCCUUAUAAGUCAGUUUUAUAAAUAUAAAUUCCAGCCAUAGACGAUACCACGUCAACUAUGGAAUCAAAUGCACCAUUCCAAAUAUGGAAUUGGUACAUAUACUUGAAAAAGUGCACACAUUUUCAAAUGUGCGCAAUGGGGUGAGGGGCAAGUUUUCAUUGAUAGAGAACUUGUGAGUUUUAUUGUUGUGCGUUCUGUAAUAUCCGACAUCGCCUAGCUUGUGAGUUUUAUUACUGGUGUAUAAGUUACGUGCUCUCCUAACUACGUGGAUUGUUUUGAGUUGUAAGGCUCAAUAACAAAAUCGUGAUGUGUUGUGUGCACAAAGUAAGAAAAAGAAGGCCAAUAAUUUUAAUUUUACAAUAUACAUCAUGUGCUUUUCAUCCAUCGAAAGUUAUUACAUGGAUGUUUUGUUCUAAGAACUGAUUUUGGCAUUUUCUCCUAUUAUUAAUUGUCAUUAGAAAAAGGAAAACAGUGAAAAUACAUUCACGAAACACGUGCUUGGAUCUUCUAUUCAUGAAUUCCUAGAAUCUGGGAAGCAAAAUAAAUGGAUCCCACAUUUUUUCACCCCGCAGCACUGGCACUUCAAAGGCGGAAAAACAUUAAAGUGGACUGCCUGAGGAAUGCAAUUGCAUUUCCAAAAACCAUUAAAAUCCUCUUCACAGAACAGAUAGUACCCCAAAUGUAAGUGAUAUGAUUCUACAUAAUUAACUCUGCUCUGAAAUAUCUGUGUGUCAUGCGGACCACAAUCUUUUGUGGUUUUCACUUUGAGCUCAAAAGAAAAUGAAAACCAUGUGCCACAAUCUACAUGACGGUUUGAAAAUGCUAAAAUAGCACUAAAUGCAAUGACCUGCACUCUGCUAUUAUUGAAGAAAUCUGGUGGCAUCUCCAAGUUUAUAAAAGAUCCCACACAUUGAAACUUAAACCACUUUGGAAUUUCAUUCCCAGGUAGUACUAUAUGACCUUUGCCCAUGGAAAAACCUCUCUGUACCAAAAAAACAUAAUUUUAA
rnacentral:lncRNA from 1 species